AUAGAAAUCACAUAUGUGAGGUACAUUUUAUGAAGAAAACUGAAAAUAAGCUCAUCUAUCAGCCAUUCAAAUCUGGAAGCCUAACUGUCAUAUAUUCAAGAAUGAAAGGCAACUCCUUCUAUUUUUGAAAGCCACAAAUGAAUAAACUCGCUCUCUACAAAGAGUGGAGGGACCUGGAUGAUGAAGUAGGUGGCUCCUGAACUCUUGCUCCCACAAAUGCACCAAAUUUACACCGACACAUACAGCAACCCCCUCUGAGAGAAAUCCAGAAACCAGAUUCCACACAAAAAUGAAAUCAAAAACACAAUGAGAUAUCAUCUAAUACCAGUCAAAAUGGCUGGCAUCAAAAAGACAAGAAGUAACAAGUGUUGAGGAAGAUGGAGAGAAAAGGGAAUCUUUGGGCGUUGUUGGUGGGAAAGUAAAUUGGCACAACCUUUGUAGAAAAUAAU